CGCUGACGACCGGCGCACGGGUGAGUAACACGUAUCCAACCUUCCCAUUACUCGGGGAUAGCCUUUCGAAAGAAAGAUUAAUACCCGAUAGUACUUAAUUAUGGCAUCAUGAUUAAGUUAAAGAUUUAUUGGUAAUGGAUGGGGAUGCGUUCCAUUAGAUUGUUGGUGAGGUAACGGCUCACCAAGUCUUCGAUGGAUAGGGGUUCUGAGAGGAAGGUCCCCCACAUUGGUACUGAGACACGGACCAAACUCCUACGGGAGGCAGCAGUGA
rnacentral:rRNA from 1 species